AAACCAACAGGGAUUGCCUCAGUAGCGGCGAGUGAAGCGGCAAAAGCUCCAUUUUGAAAGCUCUUCGGAGCGUUGUAGAUUGGUGGGAAGCUAACGGCUGGUGGGAGACCAAGUCCUCUGGAACGAGGCGCCAUAGAGGGUGAGAGCCCCGUGUGUCUCCUUUACCGACCUUUCAGCCCCCUCCGCGGAGUCGAGUUGUUUGGGAAUGCAGCUCUAAGUGGGUGGUAAAUUCCAUCUAAGGCUAAAUAUUGGCGAGAGCCCGAUAGCGAACAAGUACAGUGAUGGAAAGAUGAAAAGCACUUUGAAAAGAGAGUGAAACAGUACGUGAAAUUGUUGAAAGGGAAGGGUAUUUGGCCCGACAUGGGUCCUAUGCACCGUUGCCUCUCGUGGGCGGCGCUCUGCUUGGGCCUGGGCCAGCGUCAGUUUGGAGGGGGCGAGAAGGGUUUUGGGGAGUUGCCUAGCAAUUCCCCUUUGCUAGAUUGCCCCACACCGGACUGAGGACCGCCAUCUGUAGGAUGCUGGCACAACGGCCAAAUACCGC
rnacentral:rRNA from 1 species